ensembl:lncRNA
AGUUAAUGUGGCAGGAUGAAUGUUAUUCCUCGGUUCAACCCACUUUCAGCCUGGCGCAUUAGGGGGCGCUAGUAUAAAUAGUGGCCAUUUGAGCAUUCCUGGAUCGCUUACCUGUGAUCUCCUUUUUGAUCACCUGACUUCCCUUGGUGUUGCAGAGAUCCUCUGCGGGUUACCCUUCUGAAGCCUCCAUCGCAGCUGGUAGGUGUGUUUACUCAGUGUAGUGCGUAUAUUACCUUACUGGGUGGUAAACAGAUAUUGUUUUUAGGUCGUAGCUGUAGAAGCCUCCUAUGAGCCACUCUGCUCAUGAUUCAUGACGCUGUUUACUCGGUACAUAAUUCAGUUUUGUUACGAUCUCUGCCUUUUAUUGUUCUUUUAUAGUAAAUACUUAUUAUGCUUUGCAGGAAGUGUGGGCCUUAGUUUUACGCCACGCUACGCUAACUGAAGUGCUGCUGCUUUGCUUUGGUUUGCUUUUACCCUCUGUUCCUGUUGUGAGGUUACUUUUCCUGCUGCUGCCAGCUUUUUUUUUUUUUUUUUUUAAAGUGGACGUCGGCGUGGACAGCGGCCAUAUGCAUGCAGGUGUUGUGCCAGAAAGUGAUUGCCGUCCGCGGGAGCGCGCGCAGCUACUUAAAGCUGCAGCGCCCGGAUUACUUGCGUUGCCUGCUACUUCCGUGCCACUGAUAUAACGUGGGGGGGAAGAAAAAAAAAACAUUUAUGCCUUUGUUAUAAGGCAAAGGUAUGCAUUUAUGGAACUUUAAAGUUUCUUGUAACCGAAUUGUGACGCUUAUCAGAAGGUUGCUUUCAGUGUGUAGCGCUGUCACGAAUGACUACACGCAUCACGAUGGAAUAAUUAAUGCCUACAGGUUUAGGCUGUUUGAUGACGAUUUGGACUCCUCUGGGUGAUGAGGACACACCCACAUCUGUUCCAUACUGCAGCCAUGGAUGGUGUUACAGCUCUGAGUCCGCUUUGGGCCAUCAGAUGCACACACUGGAAAACCAGCGCCUGUACUUCAUGCAGGAGAGAUGACCUCAGUGAUAAUUCAUCAGCAGCUGUGAAGAGAUGUAUUUGAAUAUCUUCUGGUUCCACUUUUCUUAACCUGGAAGCUGAGGAUGGCUAAUUCCUGACAAGGACACACACCUCAGCGCUUAUCAUGGGUGUUACAUCCUCUGCGCAGCAAUUCCAGAGAAAACGAGAGAGCAACGACCACACAUUAAGACCAGACAGAAAUCUGUCCCUUUCUGGCAGCUGUGGAAACUUCCAAUAAGAAAGUUUGCAUUCUUAGAACAAUGCUGGGUCAUGUGUGAUGUGUCAUUAUAUGAGGAUAUUACAUUUUAACUUAAUUCUGCUCAAUUAAGUGUUUUGUUCGUUGAUCCAAUAUGGCAGCUUUUAUUGUGCUCCAAGUUAAAACUCAUUGUCCUCAUGAGCACAGCAUCUAACAACUCUCCUUAAAAA